GGAAAAGGAUGUGGGAUUUCGAAGACAACUAGGAUGUUGGCUCAGAAGCAGCCAUACAUUCAAAGAGUGCGUAACAGCUCACUAGUCGAGAGUCCCUGCGCCGAAAAUGUCCGGGGCUGAAACACAACACCGAAGCCGUGGACUCCGUAAGGAGUGGUAGAGGAGCAUUCUUAAAACCGACGAAGCUGUACCGGUAAGGAGCAGUGGAGGGAUAAGAAGAGAGAAUGCCGGAAUGAGUAGCGAGAGGAAGGUGGGAAUCCUUCCGGCCGAAUAUCUAAGGUUUCCAGAGUAAAGCUGAUCUGCUCUGGGUAAGUCGGGGCCUAAGGAGAGGUCGCAAGACGUAUCCGAUGGACAACAGGUUUAGAUUCCUGUACCGCAUAUAAACAGAACUGUGGGGACGCAUGUGGAAAGCAUAAGCCGGGAAUGGAAAGACCGGUACAAGCGGGGUAGGUGUGUGACAGGCAAAUCCGUCAUAUAAGCCGAAGACGUGAUGUGGAGCGAAAUUUAGUAGUGAAGUAUGUGAGCCAUGUGCCGAGAAAAGCCGCUAUUGUUUUAUAUGUGCCCGUACCGUAAACCGACACAGGUGGAUGAGGAGAGAAUCCUAAGGCCGACGGAAGAAGCAUUGUUAAGGAACUCGGCAAAAUGACCCCGUAACUUCGGGAGAAGGGGUGCUCUUAGAAAUAAGAGCCGCAGAGAAUUGGCCCAAGCAACUGUUUAGCAAAAACACAGGUCUAUGCAAAACCGAAAGGUGAGGUAUAUGGGCUGACGCCUGCCCGGUGCUGGAAGGUUAAGAGGAGAGGUUAGCGCAAGCGAAGCUUUGAAUUUAAGCCCCAGUAAACGGCGGCCGUAACUAUAACGGUCCUAAGGUAGCGAAAUUCCUUGUCGGGUAAGUUCCGACCCGCACGAAAGGCGUAAUGAUUUGGGCACUGUCUCGACAAUGCACCCGGUGAAAUUGAAAUACCAGUGAAGAUGCUGGUUACCUGCGCCAGGACGGAAAGACCCCAUGGAGCUUUACUCUAGCUUGAUACUGGGAUUCGGUAUUGCAUGUACAGGAUAGGUGGGAGGCUGUGAAGCGAUGACGCCAGUUGUCGCAGAGCCGCUGUUGGGAUACCACCCCUGCAGUACUGGGUUUCUAACCUGCGGCCGUAAUCCGGCCGGGGGACAAUGUCUGACGGGGAGUUUGACUGGGGCGGUCGCCUCCGAAAGGGUAUCGGAGGCGCUCAAAGGUUCCCUCAGAAUGGUUGGAAACCAUUCGAAGAGUGCAAAGGCAGAAGGGAGCUUGACUGCGACACCGACGGGUGGAGCAGGUACGAAAGUAGGACUUAGUGAUCCGGUGGUAUGAAAGUGGGAUUGCCAUCGCUCAACGGAUAAAAGCUACCCUGGGGAUAACAGGCUUAUCACUCCCAAGAGUUCACAUCGACGGAGUGGUUUGGCACCUCGAUGUCGGCUCAUCGCAUCCUGGGGCUGUAGUAGGUCCCAAGGGUUGGGCUGUUCGCCCAUUAAAGCGGUACGCGAGCUGGGUUCAGAACGUCGUGAGACAGUUCGGUCCCUAUCCGGCGUGGGCGUAGGAUAUCUGAGAGGAGCUGUCCUUAGUACGAGAGGACCGGGAUGGACUGACCUCUGGUGUACCGGUUGCACUGCCAAGUGCAUGGCCGGGUAGCCAAGUCGGGACGGGAUAAACGCUGAAGGCAUCUAAGCGUGAAGCCCCCCUCAAGAUGAGAUAUCCCAUAGAGUAAUCUAGUAAGACCCCUUGA
rnacentral:rRNA from 1 species